rnacentral:sRNA from 1 species
UUUUUUUCGAAUACUAAGAGGUCUGGGCCGAAGUCCGUAACUUCCCCAGAUCCGAAACCACAAUAUGUAAUAUAAGUUUUGUCAUAAGCGUCAUUUGAACCGGCGACCUCUAAGUUUCACCUAGAACCUUUACCAAUUGAGCUAACGACACUUUAUUUACAUCACUUUCUCUCAGUUGUCAUUAUACUACUUUCAGUUAAUAAUAGACUAAUACUUUUCAAUAUAGUUUCGCAAAUACUUCAUCAAUAAAAAAAAGUUACAAAAUGAUAAACAAAACGUAAA